UUUAAAAUGUUGUUAUAAAUAGCUACUUAAGUUCAGGGUUUUCAAGUGAAGUGUUAAGUAUUGAGAAAAGGCAAAAACCUAAACUCAAAAAGAGACUUAUUGUGGCCGCCCAUCACUACUCUCUUCUUCUCCAUUAUUUUCUCAUCUCCUAUGUUUAUAAUUGCCCACCCUAGUAUAGGUGAUUAAAGAAAAUUUUGGAAGAAUGUGUAGUUUGAAGAUCCAAUUCACUCUUUUGUUAUUACUCUAUGAAAAAGUGAUCAAAGAAAAUUUUGGAAGAAUGUGUAUUUUGAAGAUCCAAUUCACUCUUUUGUUAUUACUCUACGAAAAAAAGAAAUAAUGGUUAAAGAGAGGAAGGAAUGAGUCUCAAUAUCAACUGCAUAAAAGUAAAUGCAAGGGUAAGAUUGAUCAACCCUGACUCGGAGAGCUCUAAGAGCAGAAUGUACAUGAACAUCUGCUCAGCCGCCACGGUUGUGGGGAGACAGGGAUAGGAGAACCAUAAACAUCUAUUUUGCCUUUAGAAUGGCUAGCGGUUGUAAAGGCAAGGGCAAGAUUGCCUGACUCAGAGAGCUCUGAGAGCAGAAUGUACAUGAACAGCUGUUCACCCGCCACGGUUAAGGGGAGACAAGGACAGGAGAACCAUAAACAUCUGUUUUGCCUUUAGAAUGGCUAGUGGUUGUUUGUACACUGUCAAUUUUGUAAACCGACUUUUAAACG